rnacentral:lncRNA from 1 species
GAUAAGCUUUUUUAUUUAUUUUUUUAAGGCAUUUCCUACAGCUGUUGGAAACCACGUGCCAUCUUUAAGGUCGGCCCCUGGAUUGCCGAGACUUGACAGCGCCGGUGGCCGCAGCCAUGAGUUACGUCUGGACAGUGCUCUGCAGCUGGCCCAGGGCGACCACAGAAACAUGUCCCCAUUUCUGCCUUGGCCAUGUUUCUGUUUUCACUUCAGUAGAAGUAUGACAACUCGAGUCACUGUCAUGGAAAAUACCAGAAGCAUCCUCGAUCUCCUCUCUUCCCUGCACCUGUUUCUCAUCCACUGGCCACAUCUCACCCUCCAUGUGGACAAGCCAGUCACUGCUGGGGACACUCUACUCCAGGCCUCCUGCCCUGCACGGGCUGGUCCCCCACUCGGCAGGGGGUAUCCCCUCUCACCUGUCUGCAGAACUGGUGGGAUUUCCCAGUCUGGCUGGAGGGUCUCCUUGGGGUCCAUCCCUGGCCAGCUUCCUGGCUUGUCUGGCCGGCAGCACCAGCCCACUUCCUGGGAACAGCUCCUGCAGGUACCGUUUUUACUUGUGCUAUGACUGUUUCCACUGGACCCUCCUGAUGGCCAUGUAAGGUGGUCAUUAAAGGUAUGACCCUCAUUUCACGGGCCAAAUGUUCCUAAAGCUCAUAAAGGUUAAUUGGCUUGUCCAGGGCCUCUGGCCUGUAGAUGGGAUGUCUGCUAGGGCCCGACACAUGAAGGCACAUGGAGUCCACCUGCUCAGGACGCUCCCUCCCUGUAGAGCAUCUGUCCUAAAAGGCCACUCCCUCACCUGCAAUCUGUUAUCGAUAAGCCACAGAAGCCUCAGGGGGCUGUCUUCCCCUUCUGGUCACUACAGAGCAUAAGUUUCCUUCUGCUUUUAUCUGCUUGACAUUGGUUUCAAGUUAAAGCUGAAGUGAAAACAUACGUGGCCUUAGAGUCACCCCCCGUGUGAAUCCCAGUUUGCCUGUUUACCACGUGUGUGGACUCAGCCGAUUCGAUGGCUCUCUGGCCUGGUGCCUUCAGCCCUGGUAGAGAAAUCACAGAGACGCCCUCCAAGGCCGGGAGGGUCCUACACAAGAGCCUGUGUAGAGUGCCCAGCUCCACCUGCCCACAGUGCUCACUGUGACUGUGACUGUUAUGGUCCCUGGUGACCUCAUCACUACACCAAUCAGGGGAACCCCUCCUUCUUUUCAUGGAUGGAGCUGUGCCCCAGAAUUCUCUGCAUAUUUGUGACCACAGGCAGCAGACGGAGACGCGCGUGUCUUCUUGGCUACCCCACCUGCAGGGUUUUUCUCUCAUAUCAGAGCCGGCUUGCUGGGAUAACCCAGAGGGGGCCCAGGG